AUUGAACGCUGGCGGCAUGCUUUACACAUGCAAGUCGAACGGUAACAGGCCGCAAGGUGCUGACGAGUGGCGAACGGGUGAGUAAUGCAUCGGAACGUGCCCAGUCGUGGGGGAUAACUACUCGAAAGAGUAGCUAAUACCGCAUACGAUCUAUGGAUGAAAGCGGGGGACCGUAAGGCCUCGCGCGAUUGGAGCGGCCGAUGUCAGAUUAGGUAGUUGGUGGGGUAAAGGCUCACCAAGCCAACGAUCUGUAGCUGGUCUGAGAGGACGACCAGCCACACUGGGACUGAGACGCGGCCCAGACUCCUACGGGAGGCAGCAGUGGGGAAUUUUGGACAAUGGGCGCAAGCCUGAUCCAGCAAUGCCGCGUGCAGGAAGAAGGCCUUCGGGCUGUAAACUGCUUUUGUACGGAACGAAACGGCUCUGGUUAAUACCCGGGGCUAAUGACGGUACCGUAAGAAUAAGCACCGGCUAACUACGUG
rnacentral:rRNA from 1 species